rnacentral:rRNA from 1 species
GACGAACGCUGGCGGCGUGCUUAACACAUGCAAGUCGAACGGUGAAGCGCUUGCCUUUUUGGUGGGUGUGGAUGAGUGGCGAACGGGUGAGUAACACGUGAGUAACCUGCCCUCUUCUUCUGGAUAACCUCAUGAAAGUGGGGCUAAUACGGGGUAUUCCGGGUCUGUCGCAUGGCGGGUUUGGGAAAGAUUGCGCCUUUGGGUGUGUUCGGUGGGGGAUGGGCUCGCGGCCUAUCAGCUUGUUGGUGGGGUGAUGGCCUACCAAGGCGGUGACGGGUAGCCGGCCUGAGAGGGUGGACGGCCACACUGGGACUGAGACACGGCCCAGACUCCUGCGGGAGGCAGCAGUGGGGAAUAUUGCACAAUGGGCGCAAGCCUGAUGCAGCGACGCCGCGUGAGGGAUGGAGGCCUUCGGGUUGUGAACCUCUUUCGCCAGUGAAGCAGGCCUGCUCCUGUGUGGGUGGGUUGACGGUAGCUGGAUAAGAAGCGCCGGCUAACUACGUG